UACAGAGGUCCCAAGCGUUGUUCGGAAUCACUGGGCGUAAAGGGUGCGUAGGCGGGUCUUUUAAGUCAGGGGUGAAAUCCUGGAGCUCAACUCCAGAACUGCCUUUGAUACUGAGGAUCUUGAGUUCGGGAGAGGUGAGUGGAACUGCGAGUGUAGAGGUGAAAUUCGUAGAUAUUCGCAAGAACACCAGUGGCGAAGGCGGCUCACUGGCCCGAUACUGACGCUGAGGCACGGAAAGCGAUGGG
rnacentral:rRNA from 1 species